rnacentral:rRNA from 3 species
UCGGUCCCUAUCUGCCGUGGGCGCUGGAGAACUGAGGGGGGCUGCUCCUAGUACGAGAGGACCGGAGUGGACGCAUCACUGGUGUUCGGGUUGUCAUGCCAAUGGCACUGCCCGGUAGCUAAAUGCGGAAGAGAUAAGUGCUGAAAGCAUCUAAGCACGAAACUUGCCCCGAGAUGAGUUCUCCCUGACUCCCUGAGAGUCCUGAAGGAACGUUGAAGACGACGACGUUGAUAGGCCGGGUGUGUAAGCGCAGCGAUGCGUUGAGCUAACCGGUACUAAUGAACCGUGAGGCUUAACCUU